rnacentral:snoRNA from 1 species
CAAUUCUGACAGACCUGGAGCAAUUAAUGCUGCUGCUAAGGUUUCCACUGCAGAAUCAAGAAAAAGAAGGUCCUCAUGCUUUCUGUCUGUCUGGUUGUGGAAGCCAAGAUUGAAUGGGUGAAUAUAGGA